rnacentral:rRNA from 1 species
AACGAACGCUGGCGGCAGGCCUAACACAUGCAAGUCGAGCGCGCCCUUCGGGGUGAGCGGCGGACGGGUGAGUAACGCGUGGGAACGUGCCCUUUUCUACGGAAUAGCCUCGGGAAACUGAGAGUAAUACCGUAUACGCCCUUUGGGGGAAAGAUAUAUCGGAAAAGUUUCGGCCCGCGUUGGAUUAGGUAGUUAGGAGGGUAAUGGCCUAACAAGCCGACCAUGCAUAGCUGGUUUGAGAGGAUGAUUAGCCACACUAGGACUAGGACACGGCCCGGACUCCUACGGAAGGGAGCAGUGGGGAAUGUUGGACCAUGGGGGCAAUCAUGAUCUACCCAUGCCGGGAGAGUGAUGAAAGCCUUGAGGAAGAAAAGCUCUUUCAACUGGGAAGAUAAUGACGGUACCAGCAGAAGAAGCCCCGGCUAACUCCGUG